rnacentral:misc_RNA from 1 species
GUGAAUCAUCGAAUUUUUGAGCGCAAAUUGCACUCUCUUCGUAGAGUAUGCCUGUUUGAGUGUCAGCCUAAAAAAUCGACAUAGUUGCUGUUUCGCGGGGACAUUCGUCGGAAAUUGGGUCAUCUUAAACCGUUGGGUUUUAAGCGGCUUAAAAUUGUCUGUACGAUUCGACGAACGUUGCGAAGAUUUUACUUCUUACACGUUUAAGGUAGCGAUCUUUAUUAGAUGUGGCCGUUGCAUCGGAUCACGGCCAUAAGU